GAUGAACGCUGGCGGCGUGCUUAACACAUGCAAGCGAACGAACCUUCGGGUUAGUGGCGGACGGGUGAGUAACGCGUGGGAAUCUGCCCUCAGGAGGGGAUAACGGUUGGAAACGGCCGCUAAUACCCCAUAUGCCGAGAGGUGAAAUGAAUUUCGCCUGAGGAUGAGCCCGCGUCUGAUUAGCUAGUUGGUGAGGUAAGAGCUCACCAAGGCAUCGAUCAGUAGCUGGUCUGAGAGGAUGAUCAGCCACACUGGGACUGAGACACGGCCCAGACUCCUACGGGAGGCAGCAGUGGGGAAUUUUCCGCAAUGGGCGAAAGCCUGACGGAGCAACGCCGCGUGAGGGAUGAAGGCCUCUGGGCUGUAAACCUCUUUUAUCAAGGAAGAAGAUCUGACGGUACUUGAUGAAUAAGCCACGGCUAAUUCCGUG
rnacentral:rRNA from 1 species